rnacentral:rRNA from 1 species
ACUGAACGCUGGCGGCAGGCCUAAACACAUGCAGGUCGAACGGUAACAGGAAGAAGCUUGCUUCUUUGCUGACGAGUGGCGGACGGGUGAGUAAUGUCUGGGAAACUGCCUGAUGGAGGGGGAUAACUACUGGAAACGGUAGCUAAUACCGCAUAACGUCGCAAGACCAAAAGAGGGGGACCUUCGGGCCUCUUGCCAUCGGAUGUGCCCAGAUGGGAUUAGCUUGUUGGUGGGGUAACGGCUCACCAAGGCGACGAUCGGUAGCCGGACUGAGAGGUUGAACGGCCACAUUGGGACUGAGACACGGCCCAG